rnacentral:sRNA from 1 species
UCCUUAGUGGUACAGUCGUCCAGGCCGGU